CUAGUUGGUGAGGUAAGAGCCCACCAAGGCAGAGAUCGGUAGCCGGCCUGAGAGGGCACACGGCCACACUGGCACUGAAACACGGGCCAGACUCCUACGGGAGGCAGCAGUGGGGAAUCUUGCACAAUGGGGGCAACCCUGAUGCAGCGACGCCGCGUGAGCGAUGAAGCCCUUCGGGGUGUAAAGCUCUUUCGGCAGGGAAGAUAGUGACGGUACCUGCAGAAGCAGCUGCGGCUAACUACGUGCCAGCAGCCGCGGUAAUACGUAGGCAGCAAGCGUUGUUCGGAGUUACUGGGCGUAAAGGGUGUGUAGGCGGUUCUUUAAGUUUGGUGUGAAAUCUCCCGGCUCAACCGGGAGGGUGCGCCGAAUACUGAGGGACUAGAGUGCGGGAGAGGAAAGUGGAAUUCCUGGUGUAGCGGUGAAAUGCGUAGAUAUCAGGAGGAACACCGGUGGUGUAGACGGCUUUCUGGACCGUAACUGACGCUGAGACACGAAAGCGUGGGUAGCAAACAGGAUUAGAUACCCUGGUAGUCCACGCCCUAAACGAUGCAUAUUUGGUGUGGGUCAUUCAGUUGAUCCGUGCCGGAGCUAACGCGUUAAAUAUGCCGCCUGGGGAGUACAGUCGCAAGGCUGAAACUCAAAGGAAUUGACG
rnacentral:rRNA from 1 species